AACGAACGCUGGCGGCGCGCCUAAUACAUGCAAGUCGAGCGAGAAGACGUAGCAAUACGUUUGUAAAGCAGCGAACGGGUGAGGAAUACAUGGGUAACCUACCCUCGAGUGGGGAAUAACUAGCCGAAAGGUUAGCUAAUACCGCGUACGCUCCUUGGACUUCGGUUCAGGGAGGAAAGCGAUACCGUGGGUAUCGCGCUCUUGGAUGGGCUCAUGUCCUAUCAGCUUGUUGGGAGGUAACGGCUCACCAAGGCUUCGACGGGUAGCUGGUCUGAGAGGACAAUCAGCCACACUGGCACUGCGACACGGGCCAGACUCCUACGGGAGGCAGCAGUAAGGAAUAUUGCGCAAGUGGGCAAAGCCUGACGCAGCGACGCCGCGGUGGGGGAUGGAAGGUCGUUCGGUAGUUACGUU
rnacentral:rRNA from 1 species